rnacentral:rRNA from 1 species
AGCAGUCGCCGCGGGAAUACGGAGGGGGCAAGCGUUAUCCGGAAUUAUUGGGCGUAAAGGGUACGUAGGUGGCCUUUUAAGCGUAGGGUAUAAGGCAAUGGCUCAACCAUUGUUCGCCCUAUGAACUGGAAGGCUUGAGUGCAGGAGAGGAAAGCGGAAUUCCUAGUGUAGCGGUGGAAUGCAUAGAUAUUAGGAGGAACAUCAGCGGCGAAGGCGGCUUUCUGGACUGCAACUGACACUGAGGUACGAAAGCGUGGGGAGCAAACAGGAUUAGAUACCCCCGUAGUCCCUGUCUCUUAUACA